GUUGUCACAUGUUGGUUUCUCACUGAUUUAUCUCUACUCCUAAUGUCUCAAUUGGUGAAUAAUCUCCACGGUUUUUUUUCGCUGGUUUUUUUUGUCCUCCUCCCACCUUUGUCUUUUUUUUAUGUCUCUUCUCCCAUCACCGGUUUUUUCACCCCAUCUCGCACAUAAGGAAAAAACAUACGACGCAGCUCCCCUCGAUCUAUUUGCUAGGUCGACCGUGAAGCACUGACAGGACCAAAUUACACCGAUCAACAACACCGCUACUCGAACUAGCCCCGAUUGGAUUAAUUUGAGGAACAGAGUACAGAUACAGGGGUUCAGAUCGAGGAUCUGCCCGAAUUCUACCAAGUAGUCUAGGGUUCUAAGCUUAGGCUAGCUAUUACAACUUGGAGAAAGGGAAAGAUGACUCCAGAGACGUCUCGAAGGGGCUAAAUAGCUGGUAGGUUGGUGGCGACGCUGGGGCUGACGCGCUCCGUCACUGUAGGCUUCAGGAGGGUGGCGAAAAAUGGCGUGAAGGUGAACAGAACCCGUUACAGUUGUCGUCCGUUGAUGUCCAUCUGCUUCAUCCCAGCCGUCCAUUCCCAAGUGCGUACCGCUUCGUCAUCGCUGUCGAUUUCUUCAGAGUAGCUGCUCUGUUCUUCAGUUAGGAGCUGCAGAUCAGCCGGGUCCUGACAAGCACGCCGCUGCCGCCAUCGUGGAGCCCUUCGCCGCCGCCAUUGUGGAGCCCUUCACCACCGCCGAGAUCCGAGAUCGCUGCCGCCGAGGUCCGAGAUCGCCAUCCCUUUCCGUUUCUGGUUCGCUGGAAUAUCUCCCUUUUCCCCAUCUCUCUCUCGCGCGUCAUCGCUGCCACCGCCCACUACUGGCCGCCUCCGUCCGAUAGAUCACCGGCGUCGGGAGGCUGCGAGGUCGUCGGCGCAGCGUCGGGUGGCUCUCCGUUCCAGGGAUCGAGCGCCUGGGGCAGGAGGCGUCUACGGGAUGCGCGCGUGGGAGCUGGGAGGUUCUCCUAGCCGUCGGAUCUGUGAUCCGGAUCCGGCGGUCGUCCACUGCUUGCAUGUGACUGUUGACGGGGAAGAACAAGGAUUCGUGUAUGGAGGGGAGGAUCCGCGGCACGGUGAUGUAUGUCCGGCCGUUCGUAUGGUGCCAGCCGUGUCUUCACACCCUUGGUCUCAUCUCUCAUCGCUUCUUGUGGUGGCUCCGUGGAAUGCAUGAAGCUGCUCAUUGAGCCACCGUGGCAACAUCGGAUUCGUCAAGUGCUUGUAGAAGGCUGGAGCAGAUCCAAACGUUCCUGACCAAGUGAUCCAAACGUUCCCGACCAAGUGACUACCGCCGCCUGCGGGCGCAACGAGGCAGAGGAGGAUAUCCUGUUAGGGCUUGCAGCGCGAAGGCGUCGUGAGGAGGAGACGCCAAGGUGCCGGUGGUGCGCCCGCUGCUGGUGGUGCUCAGCGAGGACGAGUGCCAGAAGGGGCUGAGCAGGACGCCCUAGCGCGUCGCCAGUAUCUGUGUUCAAGAAGGCGCCCACAAAAUCAAUUUACACAAUCCCUUCUCUGAUUAUGCACACAGAUCAGGAGAGACAUACUGGCGGGACAAUCUUUAAACCAUGAAGCCCUCUCACGGGUCGGACAUUGAACAAAUAAUUCUUCUUUGAGACAGUGAAGAAAACACAAAUCAAUGUAGUGCCCGGCCCGAAUUGGACUUCGCUGCUAUAAGAAGGAAGGGUCCUUGGCUGGAAUCUCCAUCAGGAUGCAUACUUGGACCAGAAAAUCCAUCAAAUCCCGUCGAAAUUUCAAUUUUCAACGAAACAUCCAAUGUCACCUUCGAGUUCACCGGAGGUAGAGGAAUACCCGUCGAGCCGUCUAAUGUCGCUUCAUCAGACUUCGACGGAAAACAAGAUGGCAUCCUACAAUGCUCCACAGUUUGCCGGAACUUUGUCGGACAGUUUUACACUUGAGGUAUGUGGACAAGCAGGCUUGAAAUCAUGUUUUUUGGUUCUCUGGCAACCUACAGUCCAUUGCUUCAAAUAUGUCUGCAACCUCUCUUCCUUCCCAACUCGCUUUGUCUGCUUGACUGCAUCUCAAUUUGAUCUUAUGUAUUAUUAUUUUACUAUAUACCUCGCCCAUACUAAUCUCUCUCUGGACGUAUUUAUUGACACUAAUUAACCUUGAUGAGAUAACCAUGUUUCUUACUGGAGAGAUCCAUGCCAAGCAACAUAUCCUCCGUGACAAAGAUUAAAGGUUCUGAAUUAUAGUAGUAUAUGCAUUAGAGAUACAUUCAUGUAUAUGACUGAUAGUAACAUUAGCAACUGUUUUAUAUUUUUUUUCUAGGGAAUCGAAAAUUCUGCAAGAGUUGCUUCGUACAAUUUAUCCCUUUGGAUUUGAUAUAUAACUUAAAAUUUUUCCAAUAAGGGGAGAAAUGAGUUCAGAUAUAACUCUACUCAUGACAGGCGUGUUCCCUCCGUAGAUGCAUUUUUCACAUAAAUUCAUGGUUGAUCUACAGGCCUAAUAGUAUAUUGUACAUUGCUGGACAGAACAUGCAAUACCUGACAGUGAUGUAGAUUGGUGACCAGAACACCGAUAUUGCAGCAUAUCAUCUUAAUUUUGUAUUUGGUUAGCACACACUACACUACCAAGUAGCCCAAAGUUCCAAACUCAUAUCUGUAUAGUUGGUGAUCAUGUAGAUGAUUGUCGGUAUGCUAGGUGAGUACUCAUGAGUGCUUGCAAGAGUGGAUGAAUUAGUGUAGAUCUUCGAUACAUGCAGUUUUGGGAGGCACAACUUUUACAUGUCACUCACAUCCUAAUUUAAAAGUAGUCUGUACUAUUAAUUUAUUUCUCAUGGGCUUCAUGAAGUUUUUGGUAGUUCACUGUAUCAUUAGCUCAUACUAUUUGACAUGCGUUGUGGAUCAUCUCACCCGUAAGUAGUGAAUGAGUCAGAGGUAUUUGAGGAAAUUAUCUCGAAUUGUUGUUUGAUAAUUUAGUUCCCAUUUCUCAUUUUUUUUCCAUCUAAAUCCUGAGGCCUACACUCUUGAGAACUCAGCAGUACUAUUUCAUCGGAAGUACUCUGCAGACGACAAUUACAUGAACUUCCAGAUCGAUUCAAUAUCCAGUGGACUCCCUUGACUUGGCCUGAUGCAUGCAAGGCUCAGAUGCAACGUCGGGCAAACGUCGUGCAAAAUAUGUCGUCUGCAUAGCAGCGCCCUAUUUCAUUGGUGACAGCUCAGCAAUACUGUUGAGAGAGUAUUGCUCCUUUGUGAAUCUAGCUGCAGCAAGUAGCAAUUUCAAUUGAUGCAAGCAAGUAGCAACCAUGAAAAAGAUGCUCCUGAUUCUGUAGUAUGUGUCGUAUAGUACACUUCUUUUUUGCUGCAGUAUCACAAUACUGCCUUCUUCAUAUUUUUUAUGUCAGUGUGACAUAGACAGUUUGAUCAAACUCAGCUUCCUGGUUACUUAUAUACAUAGUUCUCUGCCUGGAAAUAAAAAAAUCAAGUACUCCCUCUGAUCCAGUGCUAGAUACAUCCGUUUGAGCGACAAGUGAUAUGGAUUGGAGGGAGUAGUUUUUUUUAUUGACAGCUGAGUGGAAACAGGGACUACAGGGACUAACCAGUCAAAAAUACCUUUAAAAACAUGUUAUUCUGAACAAAGACCAUAGAUUGUUCUACUCAGCCGGUCAGCAUUACCAUAGAUUUUAAGCGAACACAAAAUAUGUAUUUGAAGAUCAAAACAGCUAAUGUCCUGUGCAAAUUCAAGAUUAAUAUAUGACCAAAACACUGAGUUGGUGUGGAGGUGAUAUAUAUGGAGUUUGCUCGGAAACUGCUUCAGCUAUCAAACAUGGAAAUUUCUCUGAGCAAGCUUUGUUUGAUGUUGUUAUCGAUGAAGCUGCAUAGGCUCUUGAGUGCAAGGAGGCGGAGGAGGAUCUCCUGGUAAAGCUUGGCAGCGUGGAGGCGUCGUGAGUAAAACAUAGAUUUAUGCUAAUCCCAUGUAACCAAGUUCUGGUGUGAUCAUGCAGUUGUAUUUUUUUUUUCUAUUUUGCGCAGAUUGAUGGAAGAGCUUUGUAUAGAACUGAAGAUUAGAAUGAAAGGAAACAUAAGAGACAAUUCAGUAAGUUUCCCUAGGGAGGCAAAAAUAGUUUGCUGGUUCAUUUAGGAAAUUAGCUGGCUGCUGUAAUUAUCAUGCGAUAUGUUUUAGUAAGCAUUUGUAUCAAAUGUUCUACUACACUUUUAGUCUGUCAAAAAGUAUUGGCUCUUCCAUCUUCAAUUUACGUCGCUUGAAAGCGUUUGGUCGAUUGACGUAGUAACUAACAACUUUGUUUGGCUGCCAAUUGCUUUGCCAUCCUUAUGAUGCCAGGAAAAUGUUGUUGUGUAUACUAUGUUUGUCUGGUUUGAAUCAAUGUUUUAGUACUUGUUCUUUGACUACAUGGCAUGGGAGGCUGUUUACCGUGAUAUGGUCG